UGGGGAAUAUUGGACAAUGGGCGCAAGCCUGAUCCAGCCAUGCCGCGUGUGUGAAGAAGGCCUUUUGGUUGUAAAGCACUUUAAGCGAGGAGGAGGCUACUUGGAUUAAUACUCUAGGAUAGUGGACGUUACUCGCAGAAUAAGCACCGGCUAACUCUGUGCCAGCAGCCGCGGUAAUACAGAGGGUGCGAGCGUUAAUCGGAUUUACUGGGCGUAAAGCGUGCGUAGGCGGCUUCUUAAGUCGGAUGUGAAAUCCCUGAGCUUAACUUAGGAAUUGCAUUGGAUACUGGGAAGCUAGAGUAUGGGAGAGGAUGGUAGAAUUCCAGGUGUAGCGGUGAAAUGCGUAGAGAUGUGGAGGAAUACCGGUGGCGAAGGCAGCCAUCUGGCCUAAUACUGACGCUGAGGUAAGAAAGCAUGGGGAGCAAACAGG
rnacentral:rRNA from 1 species